UUUUGCAACCCGUUCUCAUCAGUCUGCGUAUAAAUAACACGACUUUACACUUUCUAUUUGCGUGUAAUGCAUACGCCAAAUGCCAUUUUUGCGUGCAUAUGAUACGCCAAUCCUUCCCAUUAAUUUCGGUGGAGAGCAGAUGCGUCCAAAUAACACGCAUCAUCUUCAGCGGCAGUGACGUCACCAGCGAGGCUCGUUCAGUUCACCUGAUGCGCGUACACCUUCAAACAGGUAAGCAAGGAAUUAACAGGGAACUUCAACUCCACGCUCCCAAUGCUGAUAUUGAAGAAGCUGUCAAGGGGGCUGAACAAGUCCUUCAAAGGAUCAACCCUUCACAGGAAGGCCUGUCAUGAGAUUUGAAUUUGACCAUCUUGUGCAUUUAUGAAGAAGACCAAAAGCUGCAAAGGCAAACACUUCCAAUGGAUUUCUCACAGAUUACUUAAUCAUUCUUCAUCAGCUCUUCACAAUAUCAGCCCAUUCAAAAGCUUCCAGAUCUUCCUCUCUUGUGUGACACAUCUGCUCUCAGUCCUUUACUGCCAACCUCCAGUCUUAG